GACAUUUAGUGCUAGAGGAGGGCUGAUGCUGCGGCUGUGGAAAGCUUCCUGGAGAAAAUGACCUGGAAGGUUUCUGGGAUGUGGCUGAGGAAGGAGGACGAGGGUGUAGCCUGUGCUGGGAUGGCCAGGACCAUGUGGAGUAUGUAGCCAAAGGCGGAGCCCCGGGGCCUGGAGUGCUCUGCUGUGGGCUGAGCCUUUAGCUGAAGCUCGCUCAGCAGGACUGGGCAGGUGGAUGGAGGAGCCUGGUGAUAAACUCUGGGACGAAUCUGGAACUGGGUUUGGGGACAGAGCUCUCAGCCCGUGACUGCCCUCACAGUCUUCCCCAACCCCCACAGGCAACAGGACCUGUACCGAAUCCUGAAGGCCUACACCAUCUACCGGCCUGACGAGGGUUACUGCCAGGCCCAGGCCCCCGUGGCUGCGGUCCUGCUCAUGCACAUGCCUGCGGAGCAAGCCUUUUGGUGCCUGGUGCAGAUCUGCGACAAGUACCUCCCAGGUUACUACAGUGCAGGGCUGGCGUUAAGAUCAUCUUCCGGGUGGCCCUGGUCCUGCUGCGCC
rnacentral:sRNA from 1 species